rnacentral:rRNA from 1 species
AGUGAACGCUGGCGGUAGGCCUAACACAUGCAAGUCGAACGGCAGCACAGUAAGAGCUUGCUCUUACGGGUGGCGAGUGGCGGACGGGUGAGGAAUACAUCGGAAUCUACUUUUUCGUGGGGGAUAACGUAGGGAAACUUAUGCUAAUACCGCAUACGACCUACGGGUGAAAGCAGGGGUUCUUCGGACCUUGCGCGAUUGAAUGAGCCGAUGUCGGAUUAGCUAGUUGGCGGGGUAAAGGCCCACCAAGGCGACGAUCCGUAGCUGGUCUGAGAGGAUGAUCAGCCACACUGGAACUGAGACACGGUCCAGACUCCUACGGGAGGCAGCAGUGGGGAAUAUUGGACAAUGGGCGCAAGCCUGAUCCAGCCAUACCGCGUGGGUGAAGAAGGCCUUCGGGUUGUAAAGCCCUUUUGUUGGGAAAGAAAAGCAGCAGGUUAAUACCCCGCUGUUCUGACGGUACCCAAAGAAUAAGCACCGGCUAACUUCGUG